UACGUAGGGUGCCGGCGUUUAUCGGAAUUACUGGGCGUAAAGCGUGCGCAGGCGGUCUUUUAAGUCCGAUGUGAAAUCCCCGGGCUUAACCUGGGAACUGCGUUUGAAACUGAAAGGCUAGAGUGUGGCAGAGGGGGGUGGAAUUCCACGUGUAGCAGUGAAAUGCGUAGAUAUGUGGAGGAACACCGAUGGCGAAGGCAGCCCCCUGGGCUAACACUGACGCUCAUGCACGAAAGCGUGGGGAGCAAACAGG
rnacentral:rRNA from 1 species